rnacentral:rRNA from 1 species
AUGAACGCUAGCUACAGGCUUAACACAUGCAAGUCGCGGGCAGCAUGUCGGUUGCUUGCAACCGAUGAUGGCGACCGGCGCACGGGUGAGUAACGCGUAUCCAACCUGCCCUUCACCACGGAAUAAUCCAGUGAAAAUUGGUCUAAUACCGUAUGAGGUCAUACGAUGGCAUCAGAAUAUGACGAAAGGUUUAGCGGUGAAGGAUGGGGAUGCGUCUGAUUAGCUUGUUGGUGAGGUAACGGCUCACCAAGGCGACGAUCAGUAGGGGUUCUGAGAGGAAGGUCCCCCACAUUGGAACUGAGACACGGUCCAAACUCCUACGGGAGGCAGCAGUGAGGAAUAUUGGUCAAUGGGCGAGAGCCUGAACCAGCCAAGUAGCGUGCAGGACGACGGCCCUAUGGGUUGUAAACUGCUUUUAUAUGGGGAUAAAGUGAGCUACGUGUAGUUUAUUGCAGGUACCAUAUGAAUAAGGACCGGCUAAUUCCGUG